UGCGGGGUGGAGCAGUCUGGUAGCUCGUUGGGCUCAUAACCCAAAGGCCGCAGGUUCGAAUCCUGCCCCCGCUA
rnacentral:tRNA from 1 species